CAGCGGCGGAAGUCGGCCGAGGGGGCGGGUGGAGGAGGUCGUUAAUGGCGCCGCUCCUGCCCGCGCGGCCGCUCCCCGCGGUUGACGGCGCCGCUCCUGCCCGCGCGGCCGCUCCCCGCGGUUGACGGCGCCGCUCCGGGCUCGCUCUCCGGGAGCUGCGGUACUCCCGCGGCCGGGCUGUGCGUUGCUGGCGCCGGGACCGGCUCGGGCUCGGGGCCGUUCGGGGCCUUCGGUGCUGUUAUCGCAAGCGAGUGCGGAAGGCUGCGUGUGCUCCUGGCUGUCCUAGAACGUGAAGGUGGUGGAUUGCCCAGCUGCGGUGCCCCGGUUCAAGGCUCUACCUCUGCCUUCCUUUGACCGUCUGAGGGCGCCAGAGAAGGUCGAAACCCACGCUCGGCCCGAGCCGUUCCGUCUGCGCGUGGAUGAACGGAGAGCGCUUGCCACCGUACGGAGCUGCAAACAGCAGAUGGGAGGAGAAGGCUUCGACGGGGCUCGGAAAGGCAGAG